AUUGAACGCUGGCGGCAUGCUUUACACAUGCAAGUCGAACGGUAACAGGUUAAGCUGACGAGUGGCGAACGGGUGAGUAAUGCAUCGGAACGUGCCCGAUCGUGGGGGAUAACGCAGCGAAAGCUGCGCUAAUACCGCAUACGAUCUGAGGAUGAAAGCGGGGGACCGUAAGGCCUCGCGCGAUCGGAGCGGCCGAUGUCAGAUUAGGUAGUUGGUGGGGUAAAGGCUCACCAAGCCGACGAUCUGUAGCUGGUCUGAGAGGACGACCAGCCACACUGGGACUGAGACACGGUCCAGACUCCUACGGGAGGCAGCAGUGGGGAAUUUUGGACAAUGGGCGCAAGCCUGAUCCAGCCAUUCCGCGUGAGUGAAGAAGGCCUUCGGGUUGUAAAGCUCUUUCGCAAGGGAAGAAACGAUAGUGACGAAUAAUCACUGUUAAUGACGGUACCUUGAUAAGAAGCACCGGCUAACUACGUGCCAGCCGCCGCCGUAAUAC
rnacentral:rRNA from 1 species